CAGGGAGACAACAAAAUGUUUAAUAUUAUUAUUUUGUCACCUUAGGUCGAUCGGUAUCUCACGUUUUUAAUUUAUUAAGAAUUUCAUUUCCUAAGUUUUUCUAGGUCACACCCAUUAUUUUUCCUGGGCCAUUAGCUCAGGUGGUUAGAGCGCACCCCUGAUAAGGGUGAGGUCCCUGGUUCAAGUCCAGGAUGGCCCAUAUCUCUAUGUUGGGGGUAUAGCUCAGUUGGUAGAGCGCCUGCUUUGCAAGCAGGAUGUCAGCGGUUCGAGUCCGCUUACCUCCACUGAUCACCACCUCUUCCAUAACCGGUAGAAAGGAAAUUUUUUGAGUUGUGAUCAAAUACUGAAAGAAUCUAGCUUCCUAAUGAAAUCAUUAAGAUGCUGGACUCAUUGAAUUAAUUUCAUUGUUUUCAGAGAACCUUGACAACUGCAUAGAUUAUUUUUAAAGACAAUAAGCAUCUUUAAUGAUGCAGAUUUAUUAUUUGUGCAAAUGCAUUAAUAACAAUUCUAUUAAGCUGAUGCUUCAAUAUUUGAAGUUAUUG
rnacentral:tRNA from 1 species